GCCUGGUCUUAUGUGACAUUUGAAGAACAUUUGACAUUUGCCCUGUGGGUAUCUCGCUUUUCUGCCCAUCUCUAUUUUCUUGAUCUUAGUGUCAGAAGCCGUUAUCUCCUCCUUGUUCUUCUUACCUUCCUUGGCUCUGCCAAGGUACUCUGAGAUUCAAGGGUCAAUCACUUGGUUAGCCACUCUUAUCAGUGGUAGUGCAGCAAGGUAUCUUAACAGGAAACAAAAGGAUCGAGCAGUUAUGAAAAGUACGACUGCUGUGUUGUUAAAAAAGACCUGAGAAAAAAAAAAACAGAUGUAGGGUUGAAGGUCCACAAGCAGCGUAGGAUACUGUAGAGCAGCUAAUUCUCCGUGCUUGUUGCUAGGAUACCAAGCUCUUGUGUUUGUUUGUUUUUUUUUUGUAUCAUGUGAUGUGGCUUAUCGAGCUAUCUUUAUAGGUAUUUGCGUGUUAUGUUGGCUCUGUGUUUGUCCAAGCAUCGUAUUAUAUCGUAAAUACAUGAAUGUGGUCAUUAACUUAAGCAAAAUGGAAAAGAAUGAAGAGCGAGUGAGGAGAAAGAGAGAGGGAGGCUGUGUCAUGUGUUAUCAAUUAGUAUUUUCCCUCUCAUCCAGGCCACAUGCUUUAUUUGUACAAUGUGGGACGUGAUGAAAUGUAUAUACUGAGCAGUUUCCAUGUCGGAGUUAGCUGUUGACCAGUUGGAAAGUGCUGGGAGACACGUCACAGAACUCCUGCUAAGCUGUGUGAAAUCAAAAGCAGCAGAUAAAGUCCUGUUGUGUUUACAUUGAAUUAGAGGGGGGGGGGGUUCUGCAGUCAUCUGCAAGUGAUGGGAUAGAGCAGAACAAGAGCGAAAGGGAAGAGCGAUAGCUGAGAGUUGAGCAAAAACAAAUGAAGAGAGAUGAAGUGAAAUGGACAAGAACAGGUGGAAACGGAUGUGAUUUUUGAGCAACAAUAAGAGAAGAUAUGGAUCAACUGAUGUUGCUCAGUACUUUCUGGAAACAGAGAGUACUAAAGCACCUUAUUUGGUUUGUACUUACCAUUAACUAUUGGUUAACCAGGUAAGCUCUUCAUUUGAUCCAGAUUGUGACAGUCUCCAGUUGCUGAAUGUUUUGCUACCAUAAAGCGCGUCGGCGGUAAUCAGAAGCUAACUUAUUUACAAAGAGUUAUGAGCUCGACUUUUGGAACACUGACGGUUGUCUUUUUAUUGCUUCGGUGCAGUUGUUAAUAGCUCUCGGGUGUGUCCCUGACAUUCCUUUAAAUUUCCUGCACAUGUCAACCAGGACAGCACGACGACAGAAACUUGGACGUAAGGAAAAGUGAGCACACCAUCAUCAUGUCAUAAUAACAGUGAAUCGGUUACAUAAAUCAGGUACGAGUGUCUGUGAGCACUGGCUAUUGUGUUCUCCUGGGACUCAACGCAUGGACAGAAAACCUGAGUGGAUGUUUGAUUUAGAGUUCUUGUUCUGAGACAGAGAGAGAGGCUCUUUGCUGUCAGAAAUAAUUGAGACAGUCACUGUAAAUCACAAGAUCUACAGUAGAGUCUGGGAUAUGCAUUAGGGAAAUGUGAGAAAGCAAGAAAAUCACUGGUUUCAUGCAGCUUCUUUGGAACCGUUGUCCUCCUCACACUCUCCAACAGUUUGUGUCACUUAUCUACCCGUUGACCUCUCUUUGUCAGUGAGGUCCACGGAGUCGGAGGGACCACAGGGUCUUUAAGUGCCUGGACAGCUGUCUGUGCCGUGGACCCAAGAGUCUCAGCGGGGUCAGACCCAUCUGUGCCGUCUUGUUGUUAUGCCGUCGACAUGACCUUGAUGUCUUACGGUGUUGGAGGUAAUGCAGGCAUUUAAACAGCUUCUUUUAAUCUUAGUCAAAUUAAUUAGCAGUAAAUGAAAACAUUCUGCCUUUGUGACAUUUCUACAGUGGGGACUCUUGCUUCAGCUUAAAAAAAAAAAAAACAGGUCUGAGCUAUCUUGCCCUCACGUUCACUGCUCAACAUUUGCUGGAGUCAUUUAUCCAGUCAAACUGCUGAACGUUGCAGCCUGGUGUAGCUGUUGUGCUUUACCAGCAGAAUUUUGCAUGAUUUAGCAAUUUCAUAUUCAAGACAUUGGUUGCACAGAGGUUAGAUGCCGGGGGAUUUAUCACAGAAAAUUAUCCCUGUCCUAUAAUACUGAAAAUAUUUUCAUCAACCACAUGCUCCAGUUCAGUAGCUUUUGGACUCCGGUGGCAUAACGUCAGCUCCUGCCGCUGCGGUUUCUCAUUUUCCAGUCAGAAACAGUUUGAUUUUUAUCGCUCAGGAACACAUUCUGCUGUUUUGCAUUUCAUUUAUGAGACACAGACACCAAAAAAGCCCCCCCCCCAACCCUCCCUCAAAGGCAGCGGUUGAGAGAUUGAUGAGCUCCUGUCAGAAGACGUAUCCAACCCAACAGCCUCUGCAACCGCCCUGCUGUGUAAAUGACGGCCAUGCAUCAUAAAGUGAGAAAGCCUGACUUGAUGAGCAGAUGAUGGGGUGUCAGGGAGGUCUCCUGUAAUAAAAUUACCGCUUGAUGACUUUCCAUUAGGUUUUAUGAGGUAUUUAUACAUGUGUGAGUGAACGUGCGUGCGAGAUGGAGUCUCCAUCGCGAUCGUCGAUUCAGGGCAGGUUAACCAUCUGGCCGUAAACCCCUGGUCUCACUCGCUAAUGGAAUUUGUUCUCGUGACUCUUCCCUCUGUAUACUGCAUGUGUGCGUGUGUGUCCGCUUGCGCAGUCGCUCCAGGGCAAGCUACGCUAAUAAACUAACGGCUACAAAGUCAGAGGUGGGUUUUAGAUGGAAAUACUACAGUGAAGUAUGUAAUGAUGUUCGUUCUGUGUACUCCAUCUGUGAUCCAAUGCAUGGCCCUUAAAAUGUAAAUGUGUUUGACACAGGCAGCAGUUGUUAAUAUCAUUAUCACCUAAAGGCUCGGUUUGUGGAGCAGUGAGGCUUAAUGAAGCCGUUCAUUAGCUGCAAAUUGCCAUAGAUGUUAACUGGUGUGAUUAAUCACUGCCGUCUGAUUGGAGCCAGGUUGGGUCUUUUUAUUGAUCGGAUUGCACCAACACUGGAUGAACAAAGUGAAUGUGUGCAUCUGUGUGUUUUUUUUUAAAUCAUGCUUUGAGCAUUGUCCCAAUUCCAUACUAAUUUCAUAGUGAAUAAAGUAUAAAUCAUGCGCUUACAUCAAAGUGGGCUAUUUUUGAAAAUAAUAUCCAACCAAUUAACAUUGUCUGUGCAUAUUUUUUUCUUAAUUAAGUGAGCAGUAAACAGAGUACGUCGCUGCGUAGAUUGAGUCGUUUCAUUUCCAGAGUCAUUUCCAGAAAAUAAAACAUCUUAUACUGGUACAUUGCAAUAAAAAAGUUAGUGGUUUAGUAGUAAUUUAUUUAAACUUUCAUUCAAAAGGCAAAUAGUGUGUGUGUUAAUGGUUCUUUGUCUCCAACGGGGGCUAGAAAAUCCAAACUUGGCAAAAGACAAUCAUCACAAACACAUCAGACACAAUUAGAACGGACUCCUUGGGAAUGCUUGUUGACCACUGACAGGGAGUCGUGCAAAGAGAUUUGUUUUUCUGGGCGGUUCGUCUCGGCAGGCAACAGAAACAGUGGCCUAAACGUUUGCUUGUCUGAGCUUGUACAGUGUUUUCCUGCACAAAAAAAAAAAAAAAAUCCCUGGAAUUAGCAUACACCUAACUCUUUCUAAAUGUAAUUGAUCUUUUUUUUCCCCAGCAGUGUCUGUGUGUGCAGACACUUCAUGAACUAAUGUAUGACUUCUCCUUAAGAUUUUAUGGCGACGGUGGUGUAAAAAUAGCCCGUCCCUGUGGAUGUGAGGGCACUUUUGGCUCGCUGUCCCUACUUGAAUAUGUUUCAGCCGGACAGAACGGAGGAUGUCUGAGAGUUUGGCACGGAGGCUGUUCCUCGGCGGGAGGUCAAAGUGAUUGUGAGUUGAAAAAUAAGCCGGAGGAACACAGUGGAGUGCAGUGGAGUGGAUAAUGACUCCUGGCUAGCUGAGUUUUCCUCUUCACAGGAGUCUUGGAUGCAGCCGGUGCUUCGCAUUAAUAAUGGGACAUAAUAGAAUUCCCCUGGUCAUUAUGCCUGUGUCGGUCCGUCUGCACAGUAUCCGUGGUGUCCCUACUGUAGGUCUCCCCGCUCCUUUUCCGAAGGCCUCUUCCCAUGACCACUGCAGUUUAUAAGAGCUGUCACCUCUGCUUAGCCUCACCGCAUCUCAAAUCUCUGCCGUCGAGCGAUGAUCGCAAGACUCAUCAAGUCCAUUUGUGUGGACUUACGUAAUACCGCGUUCACUUUGCUGCAAUUGUUUUGCUAAUAGCUCUUCAGAAAUCCUUUAAGCGCACUUGUAAAUAGUUGGUGAUUGUGCAGACAAUACCAGCAGAUAAAGAAGCUUUUGUUUCUUUGUUUUUUUUUUUUAAGAGCUUUGACAACUUCUCAAGCGACAAACAUCACACAGUUAUCCCAACAACAUGCCAUAUUUUUGGUGGGAUUUCCUACAUGCUGGCACAAGCAACGCCUUGUUUUCAUAUAGCAGUGAAAGCACCGGGGCAACAAGAUUAUCUCAGCGUUUGGAUUAUAUAGCAGCGCCACAUGUUGACUCAUGCCUGGUCUCCUAGUCCUACUCAUUAGUACUGGAAUUACAUCUGGCAUGUCUAUAACUUAUGUAAGGGAAAUGAAAUCAUUGUGUGACGUCAUCGGAAAGGAGGAAAAAAACGUAUUUUCCACAUUGUUGAAAGACCCUCAGAUGUGUCCGAACCUGUGCUGCAGGAGGAAUUUACAGACCCGUAAUGAAGGGCUCCGGAGGUCGUACGUUCACCGUCUAAUCACUGGCUGUUGUGCUGCACUUACAUAACCUGAGACGUCGCCAGCGCAGCAGUCAGUCAGGCCAGUGUUUAAAAGGACGGCGAGGUAUGCAGAUGUAUGCAAAUGAGACAACCAUUGGGUUUGUGGCGGCGAAACCGUGGUAACGUGGAGAGGAAUGAGGUUAAAGAGGGCCGUGAGCUUUGGGCGGGAAGCUUCCUACCCACAGUGCUCUCUGGUGUUUGUUUACUCACUGUGGUUUGUUGUAGGCUGUGUGAGGUAAAGCCAGCCGUCUCUUAAACCUCUGCUGCGAAAGCCUUUUCUAGGCACUGUCGGGUCUGUGUACGUGCGCUUUAUCACAUGCAUUAGCUAAACUGCUGUUUGUCUUACAUUUUACCCAUUUUCUCUACAUGAAGCUGAAAUGUUUUUUAACUUAACUUGAUACUUAUUAUUGCUGUAAAAAGGGUCCAAAAGUCAAAGACCUAACAGCCACAUGCUGCUCUGUGUCAGGUUGUAAAUCCUGUCUGCUCCACUGAUUUAGAGGAAUGUAGUCGCGACUGCUGACCCUAGAUAUUUAGGGUCAGCAGCCACGGUCACUCCAUGAGACAGGAGGAAGAUUUUCUCUUUGGUGUUGGAGCACAGCCUGCGGUGAGUUCAGUCUCAGUCUAAGACUUUCCAUUAGAAAUGAACUGUUGGCAGCAUUAAAGACCCAGAAAAAGACCUUAAGUAUACUGAUGGUGUAUAAAAUAAAUGUGUGUAAAUGGAAGCAGAGAAGAAGACAGUCAUUUUCCAUGAAAGACUUCUCACUGGCAACCCUGAAAAAGUUCAUACAUUGCUUGUGAUUGACAGGUGGACCAUCCAGUAAAAUCUUAAAAAAAAAAAAAUCUUGAAAUGCAUCAGUAAUGCAUGAUUUAAAAAUGAUGUGGCCAUAGUUUGUAACCUGCUGGUGCACUGAUUGGUUCAUGACCGCGGCUCAGAUGCAGUUCUCGUCCAAAGGCUGUUAAUCUAUUUAAUACAUGGACACAUGGUCAGUAAUUAACAGCGUUGGCCAAAAUAAAUCCCAGCAGCUUUGAUUUCAGAAGAUUUAACCCAACCAGCUGCCAGAUUGCCAUCCUUCCAGCCUAAUCAAAAGAUUAAGGUCACGGGGCACCGGCCUUAGACGUGGCCUCAUCAUCUUUGAAGACAAACAAACCGUGCGUCUCGCCUCACGCCAGGUAACAUGCAGUACUGACAGUUUGAACCAGCCUUCAUCCCAGACUCUUACUUUGAAAUCACUGCUGCGCUCUGAUUCGACACAUGAACACGUUGACUGGACCUGCAGGGACGAUGAUGAUGAUGAUGAUGAAGAGUUGAAUGGACAGGCAGCAACACUCUGCUGCUGGUGUGGAUGUGUAAUGGCAGCAGGACACGUCUGUGUUGCUGCCUGCUGGAAUAACUAUAAAUAAACUAAUCCUCUCCGUCCCCUCCCCCCCGUCCUCUCGCCUCCUCCCUCGCGCUAAGGAUUUGGACGGACAAAUCGAUACGUGACCAUAAGAGAUCUGGAGUGGUCUUUAAUUUCAACUCAAUAGACACGCGUUACAUUAAAGAGCCCCAUAUGACCACCACUCUACUGGGGGCUUCAUUAAACGUGUAACUUGUGGCGUAUUGGGAGAAUUGGAAUUAAUUCAGUAACGAUUCUCCGUCAGGACCUUUUUGUGUAACCAGGAUUAUCAGAUUAAUUUACUUUGACGCUGAGAGCAGGAAAUGUAGAUAAAAGUUGUGGAAAAGCUACUGAGAAGAAAAUUAGAAAAAAAAAAUAUACUACUAUUACUACUACUUUUAUUUAUUUUUUAAAUGUCGAUAUAAUCAUAUAUAAGUACUUAAAGUACUUAGUAGGAGAAAGUAUUUCAUACUUGAGUCUCUGAGUCAGUGUCCAGCACCAGUGGUUUCUGUGACUUUUUUUUCCAGCCAGUGAUGGCUGCGUUUCCACAUUCGUUUUGAGCUUCAUUCCAAAAGCUGUGCUCAGUGUUGACCACCAGGGUUUUGGCGAUUCGUAGGUCGUCAGUUUGGGCUUCAAUCGACGGCUUUUCAUGGGACACUGUAUUUGAUUCUGACACUUGGUGCCAAGUGCAGCGAUGUGGGAAACGUAAUUGUGUCGACCUUUUCAGCCUGGACCGGCCACAGCACUUAUGGUUUAGAAGGGUAGUCAUUUGUUUGAAAUCAAGCAGUAUUUUCCUGACAUCACAGGCCAAGGAUUAAAAGAAUGGAUUUUUCUGUGGUAAUCUCUUGUCAUUUCUCAGUACUUGUGGUAAAUCAGCAGCAAAGGAAAACACAUCUACAACUUAUCAAAGAGCACUUAUUCCUCCACCUCAUUUUUUUAAGCAUCUGUGUGCUGAUUAUAGUAAUGACUAAUCAAAGGUCAAACCUUCAAUAGUUGACUCUGGAGCCACAACUUAGUCCAUUGUUGUGGCUUCACCUGGAAAUUGCCCCAAAACCACAUGCAGUCACUGAUACAAUUUAAACUUAAUGUUCUGGUCAGAGACAAUUUUGGUUUGAUAUUUGUGCUCUGUCUAACACUGUGGGAAAAUGAGAAAUUGUGUAGCAUUUUUCUAAAGGACAAUCUUUGGGCGUCGACCACCAUGAACCCAGGAAGAACAUAGAAUCGUCCCUCGCUGCGUUGCGGUUUAUUGUAGAUUUUUUAUUUAUUUAAAUGUAUUAUUGUAUUGUGGAUUUUUUGCAGUAUUUUUAUUAUUUUGUGAUACUUUUUUUUAGCCUAAGAAGAAAAACAAAUAGUAAGAAAAAUAGUAUAGUAAGAGAAAAUAAAUGAAAAGACAUUUUGGAACACACAUAUCUCCUACAGGGUUUGUAAAGGGUUAAUAUAAACUUAAAUAAUAAUUAUCGUGGUUUUUCACGAGGGACCGCUGUACAUUUCUUUGGGUUAAUGUUAGGUUGUUGGCCUGUCAGAUAGACCAACCUGCUCUAACGUGCUGUUGUACAGUGUCUGUCUUUGUCAAAGUAAACAGUUGACUUGACUAACAAUGAGAAGAUUACAUAAUACGGCGCUCAUUGAAUGAAACACAGCUUCAAACCUGACUCAAACGCAAACUAUCUCCUGCUGCCCUGACAUAAGGCAGCAGGGCCUCCAGCUACAGAGUCUCCAUUCCAGUAUAAAUGUAAUAUCCUCUCCAAACUUUAAAAUGUGGUUUGUAAUGGAGAUGUUAUUGUAUGCAAAAAAAAAAAGAUCUGUGGAGAAUGAGGUCAGAUUUCUUGGAACUUACUGUACUGGGUGUCUUUGUGCAGAGAAAUGAGAGCGAGAGUGACUGUUCAGACUGUGUCUGUUCUUUCUUCAACAUCUUGAGGUAAUUGACCUAGCCUCCUGCCUUACACACACACACACGCACACAAUGUUUUUUUUAAUUUUUUUUUUUUUGCCUAAAGAAAUCCCCUCUCGCACAAACACUCGCUCCCACUCCCUGGUUCCUGCUUGCACACAGCUCAGACAGCAGUGUAACAGGCACUCCCUGUUGUACAACAGCGGCUCAUGGGCACUCAGUCACACUCACACAAUAUCCAUGUCUUUGUGCUGAAAACACUGGCAUACUGCUGUGCACGGGAGAUGAAAAAAAAGUCAGAGCCUGGAAUAAUAAAAGCAGAGUUCUGUUAUAUUUGUUUAUAGUUACUGCUAUAUUUCACUCAAGCUGUUUCCAUGUUUCACAUCACGGAGGCUGCUCUGCCGCUGACCACUUUCCCGCCCCUGUCACUCAGUGACUAAUAAUUAGCUAACCUAGUUUUGCCUCGGCCCUUACCCAUCAGGCCUUAUUGUGUUUUUGUUUCUUAAAGUGUGCCCUGUUUUAACCUGCCAUAAACUCACACUCACUCACACUGCCCACGCAGGGAGUUGAAACAUGACAGGGUGUGACAGACAGGAAAAAUAUAUAGGAAAUAUAUUUAUUGAAACCACAUGCAAUCUGAGUCAGAGAAUUAGGACAAUAAAUAAUACAACAGAUAU